rnacentral:lncRNA from 1 species
AUGGCGCUGAAAGCAAAGAAGGAAGCUGCUGCUGCUCCUAAAGGAGAAGCCAAAACAAAGGCUUUGAAGGCCAAGAAGGCAGUGUUGAAAGGUGUCCACAGCCACAAAAAAAAGAUCUGCACGUCACCCACCUUCCAGCGGCCCUAGACACUGUGACUCCGGAGGCAGCCCAAAUGUCCUCAGAAGAGUGCCCCCAGGAGAAACAAGCUUGACCACUAUGCCGUCAAGAUUCCCCUGACCACUGAGUCUGCCAUGAAGAAGAUAGACGACAACACACUUGUGUUCAUUUGGUUGUUAAAAACAACAAGCACCAGAUCAAACAGGCUGUGUGACAUUGAUGUGGCCAAGGUCAACACCCUGAUUCACCCUGAUGGAGAGAAGAAGGCAUAUGUUCGACUGGCUCCGGAUUACAAUGCUUUGGAUGUUGCCAUGUUGCCAACAAAAUUGGGAUCAUCUAA